CCUUCCGGUGAGCUGAGCUUAAACGGAUGCGGUAAACGUGCUAAGGUAGCUAAAUUACGGCCUAAUAAUGUAGGUCCUGUGAAUGGUUUGACGAGUUUUUAACUGUCUCUAGUUUUUUUAGUGAACUUGAAUUGUAUGUGCAAAUGCAUACAUAGGGUAGAAAGACGAGAAGACCCCGUGAAGUUAAAUGAGGGUGGUUUUAGCUGGGGCAGCCAAAGAGCAAGGUUAGACUCUUUUAUUUCUGAUGAGAUACGAUCCAUAAUUGUAUGAAUAGCAGAAUAAGUUACUCCGGGGAUAACAGCGUAAUCAUCUUGAUAGUCCUUAUAGAUGGGUAGGUUUGCGACCUCGAUGUUGGCUCUGGGUAUCCUAAGGCUUGAGGCGGUCUUAAGGGUAGGUUCGU
rnacentral:rRNA from 1 species